AUGUCUCUGAUGAUGUCAUCAAGUAUUCAGGUAUCUUACAUAGUAACAGAUAUGAAUCUCUCUUAAGUCUAUAUCAAGUCCUCCAGCUUCAGUUUUUAAGGCUUCGGGAAAAAGGGCAGAUUCAGUUCUCAAUGAUUCCAAAUGAAAAGGACAAAAAAAUUGAAAAUGUUAGUUUGGA